GAUGAACGCUGGCGGCGUGCUUAACACAUGCAAGUUGAACGUGAAGCCUAGUACCUAGUAUUGGGUGGAAAGUGGCGAACGGGUGAGUAACACGUUGGUGACCUGUCCCGAGGAGGGGGAUAACCGUGGGAAACCACGGCUAAUACCCCAGAUGUCUGGAUUGUUAGAGAAUCUAGACUAAAGCUCCGGCGCCUUGGGAGGGACCUGCGGGCUAUCAGCUUGUUGGUGGGGUAAAGGCCUACCAAGGCUAAGACGGCUAGGGGGCGUGAGAGCGCGACCCCCCACAAUGGAACUGAGACACGGUCCAUACUCCUACGGGAGGCAGCAGUGAGGAAUAUUGCGCAAUGGGGGCAACCCUGACGCAGCAACGCCGCGUGGAUGAUGAAGGCCUUCGGGUUGUAAAAUCCUUUUCUGAGGGACGAUAAUGA
rnacentral:rRNA from 1 species